GAAAAGUUCAAAGCAACUUUCUCUGUAUAGGUGGAAAGGGAAAUUCAUAAUGGCUCAGAUACUCCUUUACUUAAGUGAGAAUUAAUUGGAAGAACUACUUGGUCAUCUAUGUAUAAGAAGAAACUGGUAUCCAUUCAACAGGGGAUUUUUUUUUUUUUUUUUGUCUUGACGUACUUCUUGAGUAUCAUUCUUUGUUUUACUUUUUUUUUUUCUGCAAGACAUUCUUUCUGUUUUGGAGAAAUGUGUUAUUUUUGAAACACCUUAUCCUCUUAGAGCUCAAAGAUGGUUGUAAAAGGAAAGGGUCAUUUUCAUAAAGGUCUAGGAUCCUCCAGGGAAGAGAAUCAUCUAAUCUAAUCAUCAGUUGGAUUUUAAAUUUACUAAAUGUUGUCCAACAAUUUAAGAUGGUCCAGUUGAAACAUUUGGCAAGAGUGAAGACCAAGGGUCAUCCUCAAGCACACCUCCUAAAAUGAACUUCUUUAAAGGAAAAGAGGGUUGUUAUCCUGUAACCCAGGCUCAAAAUUACCACCCAGAUGCCAGAUGAACCAACAUAAAGUUUAGGUGCAGUAUGAUGAUGGAGCCUAGCUUUGUUGCCCAGGCUGGAGUGCAAUGGUGCGAUCUCUGCCCACCACAACUCCGCAUCCCGGGUUCAAGGAAUUCUCCCACCUCAGCCUCCUGUGUAGCUGGGAUUAUAGGCAUGCGCAACCACAUCUGGCUAAUUUUUGUAUGUUUUGGUAGAGACAGGAUUUCGCCAUGUUGGCCAGGCUGGUCUUGAACUCCUGACCUUAAGCUAUCCACCCACCUCCGCCUCCCAAAGUGCUGGCAUUACAGGCGUGAACCACCACACCCGGCCAGAAGGUCCUAUUUGGAUUAAAUGCCGGAAGAAGCAUAAGGAAAUUAACAUUAACUGUUAUAUGGUCCGAAGAAAUUAUACUCAGAUCUCACUGUAGGGUGUUUUCUUAUUGUUUGUAACCACAUCUUCCAGGACUUAUAGUGGAAAAAGCAAAUGGCUUCACUUGAAGAAAUUCAAGCAAUGCAAUCACAUAGAUGAAUGAAAACCAGCCCCUUCUUCAUAUAUAUUAUUCAAGCCCCUUUUCAUUUUUAUUAUUCCAGGAUCCUCUCUUAUUCCAUUGUGCCUAUUUUACAUUAGUAUUCUCUGCUGAUACCUACUUAGAUUGUCUCAAUGGAGUUUAUAUUUAUAACAUAAUUACACAAAAAAGGCUUUGUUUCUUUUCUUCUGCAAGUGACUAGCAUUCUAAUAAAAUAACUUAUGUUUCUAAUCAAGAUUCAGCGUUCAAAACAAUAGAAUAUUUGUGGAUUUGUUUUUCUAUCUAUCAUUUAAAUUUUAUGUUUCCCAAUCCCUUUUUCAUGGACAGAGACAAAUACAUAUAAUCACUGUAUUGCUAGCAUCAAGAACCGUAAUAUUAGAAUUAAACAAACAAGUCAAUUAUUUAUAUCCUGGAAAAUAUUAAAUUUAUACUGUCUUGCUAAUAUUUUCUUACAUAAUAAUAUGCAAACACAUAAAGUGAAGGUUACUGUAUAAUAAUAUGCUCUUUUAUAUUUUAGCAAUAUUUUAUGUGAAAAUAUUAAAACACAUAAAAACUACAUAAAAUUACCAAAAUUCCAGCACUUAAAUAAUUUGGUGUAAUUUUGAAUGUCUUUCCAACAGAUCCUCUCUUAAUACACCCUAAUAUUCACAUUCAUUGUAACUAAUAUAAGUGUUAAUUUUUCUUCUCAAUUCUUCUCAUCAGUGGACUCAUAUGUAUGUUUUUCUAUGAAUAUUUUUUUCUAAAACUUUGGCACAACUAUAAUAUCUCUAAUUACAUGAGUUCUUCAUCAAUCUGUCCACUAUUAAUUUCUUUCUAAUGCAUAUUUGAAACGCUACAUAAUUGCAUAAAUUAUGGAUUAUCUAUAAUUUAUUUAUUCAAAUAUUUUUGGUGGAUAUUUAGGUGUUUUCCUAUUUUCAAGAAGCAACAUUGUACGUAUAUAUCAUUACAUAAGUGUCUCUAAUCUUGACUGCAUAUGAAUAGCUUGCAGUUGUGUUUAAACAGUCUCCCAUGAACAUAUUUUUUCCUAAAAUACCAAAAGCAAUUUCCAAAUACUGUGUAAUUUCAGCCAUAAUUACUUCAUAAAUAAAGUACUCUUCAUCUCUACUUCUUCUCCCAAACAUAAAUAUAUAUCACUCUUUAUCUUCAGACAUUCAAGCAGUUAUUAACUGAGAUUUGUGUAACUUUCUAAAGACUCUGAUAACUUUAAUUUUAUACCUUUUUUUGGACAUCCUUGCAUUAUUUUUUUUUUUUUACUUUACUUUGUACUAUCACAACUAAAAUGGUAAUUUAACUACAUUCUAUGAGUUCAUUACAGACAAAUUCUAAUCCGUGUAUGGAAAUACUGUCAGAAUAAACUCUCUGAAACACAACCUAAGCAUGCUACACUUUUGACUGUGUAAUGGCUGUCUAGUAAUAAUAAUAAUAAUAAAACCUUUAUUUUUCUUACCCACAUAUCUGUAUGACACAAUUUUGGCUAUUGACCCACCUUCAUUUUAUUUUAUCUAUAAGCAGGAUUCACUCCUACUAUACAAAUAUAAUAGCAUUGUUCUAAACUCCAUAUUCUACCUAAAGAGAAAUGAGGCUUCCACAAUUCACUCAAAGUGGUAAAAUUAUUGAUAUGAGUAGUCUUUUAUAAUUUCAUAUAUGUAUUAUAAUAUAAAAGGCAAACAAUAUAAAAACCAUGUCAGAGUUACAAGUAAAAACACUAUUAAAAAAACAAGAGGAAAUCCUCCCAAAAUUUCAGUAAUCCAUAGGAUGGCAAAUAAAAAAGAAAUAGAAUAAUAAGAAACAGCAAAAACAAGUAAUACAAUUGCAAACUUCAGUGCUAACGUAUUAAUAGUUGCUUCAAUAAAAUUAUGUAUAUAAUCAAUUAAAAAACAAGACUGAUAAAGUGACCUUCUAAAAUGGCCUAACCAUAUCCUAUUUAUAUAAAAUUCACCUCAAAUUCAAAGACAAAAAAGCUGAAAGUAAAAAGAUAAAGAAAGAUAUAUCAUGCAAACUUUAAGAAAUAAAAUGAAUUACUACAAUAAUAUCUGAUAAUGUACAUUUUAGACAAAGAAAAAUUCUUGAGAAAAAGAAAGACAUAACAAUGAUAAAAAUAAUAAAUCUACCAGAUAACAAUCUAUACAAAAUCUGUAAAACAAUAUAUAAGCAACAUUUAAAAAAACCUGUAAAACAAUAUGUUAAGCACCAAACAAAGUGUCCUCAAAAUACAUGAAGAAGGACUUAUAAAUAUGAGGUAAAAUAUUUGUAAGUCCAUAUAUCUCAUAAGGGAUUUUUUUUCUAGAGUAUAUAAAGAACUCUUACAUCUCAAUAGUGAAAAGACAAACCAACUAAAAUGGGUAAACCAUUUUGAUUUUUCCAAUGAAUAUUCACAAAUAGGCCCAAAAGCACAUAAAAUGAUGCUAAAUAUAAAAUAAUUCUCAAUAUUUUAAAUCGUUAUAGAAAUUUAAAUUUAAAUUACAGUUAAAUACCACUUCACACCCAUUAAAAUGGCAAUAAUUAAAGAGACAGGCAAUAUUCAAUGUUGGGAAGAAUGAAAAACCUUACACUUGCUGAUAGAGAUGCAAAUUUGUCAAGCAAAUCUGGAAAACAGGUUGAUAAUUGAUUAAACACUUAAACAAAAUGUAUCACAUGAAUCACCAAUUCCACCCCUGAAUAUCUAUUCAAUAGAAAUUAAAACAUACAUCACCUGAAAUCUUGUGAGUUAUUGUUCACAACAACAUUAUUCAACAGUAUUCUUAGGAGUUACUGUUUCACGGCAACAUUAGUCAAAAUAGUUCAUCAACUGAGAGUGGAUAAACAAAAAUGGAUGAACCUCAAAACUGUUAUGCAAAUUGAAAGAGGCCAGAUGAAAAAGAUCACAUUGUAAAUGAUUUGAUUAUAAGAAAUGUUUAAUAAGAGAAAUACAUAGAGACACAAGUAGGUUAGUAGGUGAGGCAUGGUGUUGGCAUGGGAAAUUUUUUCAAAGUAUUAGAAAUGUUCUAAACAUGUAUUGCAGUGACAAGAGCAAGACACUGUAAGUUAUUAAAAUUUUGUAUAUAAAUGUCACAUAUUCAAAUACCAUUUUUAUGUAUACACAAUAAUGUAAGAAUGAUACAAUAUGCUUUUAAUUCUAUAUUAUUUAUAUAAGUACUCUACAUUAUUUCCAUAAUUCUAUUUAUUUUAAUUAUCAAUAGUAUAAUUAGUUUGAUAAUUUAUAAUCUUGUUUCACUGUGCCUCAAAUAAGUAGUGUCUUAUGAUCAACCAGAUCAUUGAUUCUUAUAUAUACUCUAUGUAUAUGUGUAUAUAUGUAUAUUUGCAGUUUACAGUUUGCCCAAUGCUUG
rnacentral:lncRNA from 10 species